rnacentral:ncRNA from 1 species
GGGGUUUUUGGCGCCUGAACAGGCUGAAAAGGGAAAUCGGUCAAAAUCCGAUGCGGGCCCGCCACUGUGAGUGGGGACGAAAUCCGCGGCAUACCACUGGCUGUUGCACAGCCGGGAAGGUGCGGAGAGUAGAGAGAUCCACGAGCCAGGAGACCUGCCGAAAAUC